UACGUAGGGUGCAAGCGUUGUCCGGAAUUAUUGGGCGUAAAGAGCGUGUAGGCGGCCCCGUUAGUCCGCUGUGAAAGUCCAGGGCUCAACUGGAAUGCCGGUGGAUACUGCGGGGCUAGAGUGCGGGAGAGGAGAGUGGAAUUCCUGGUGUAGCGGUGAAAUGCGCAGAUAUCAGGAAGAACACCCGUGGCGAAGGCGGCUCUCUGGAACGCAAACUGACGCUGAAGACG
rnacentral:rRNA from 1 species